rnacentral:lncRNA from 1 species
UUCUGACAGGUAUGACUCACGGCCAGCUCGAUAUUGGGCCUAGAGGGUCACACACAUAUGGUAGGCAUUGCGAUGAGUAGAGGUUCGGAUAUGAGAUAUCCGACGGAGCCCUUAUCUUAUUGGAUGCAGAUUCAAUACCCACUAGGGAAGGACCCAUUAGGGUUUGACACGGGAUCUCUAUAAAUAGGAGGGAUUCACAGCCUCAUAGGCUAGAGUCUUUGCUUGCCUUUCCUAUUCUCCUCUCCCUCUCCACCUC